AUUGAACGCUGGCGGCAGGCCUUACACAUGCAAGUCGAGCGAGAAAUUUUCUUCGGAAAAGAGUAAAGCGGCGGACGGGUGAGUAACGCGUAGGAAUCUACCUAGUAGUGGGGGACAACAUGUGGAAACGCAUGCUAAUACCGCAUACGCCCUAUGGGGGAAAGCAGGGGAUCUUCGGACCUUGUGCUAUUAGAUGAGCCUGCGUCGGAUUAGUUUGUUGGUAGGGUAAUGGCCUACCAAGACUACGAUCCGUAGCUGGUCUGAGAGGAUGAUCAGCCACACUGGGACUGAGACACGGCCCAGACUCCUACGGGAGGCAGCAGUGGGGAAUAUUGGACAAUGGGCGCAAGCCUGAUCCAGCCAUGCCGCGUGUGUGAAGAAGGCUCUAGGGUUGUAAAGCACUUUCAGUAGGGAGGAAAAGUUAGUAGUUAAUAACUGCUAGCCCUGACGUUACCUACAGAAGAAGCACCGGCAAACUCCGUGCCAGCAGCCGCGGUAAUACGGAGGGUGCGAGCGUUAAUCGGAAUUACUGGGCGUAAAGCGCGCGUAGGCGGUUUGAUAAGCUGGAUGUGAAAGCCCCGGGCUCAACCUGGGAACUGCAUCCAGAACUGUCUGACUAGAAUACAAUAGAGGUGAGUGGAAUUUCCUGUGUAGCGGUGAAAUGCGUAGAUAUAGGAAGGAACAUCAGUGGCGAAGGCGACUCACUGGAUUGAUAUGACGCUA
rnacentral:rRNA from 1 species